rnacentral:siRNA from 1 species
ACAUGGUACUUCGCUCUUGGUCCU